rnacentral:SRP_RNA from 1 species
GCUGGGCAUGGUGGCUCAUGCCUGUAAUCUCAGCAUUUUGGGAAGCUGAGGUGGGAGGAUUGCUUGAGCCCAGGAGUUCGAGACCAGCCUGGGCAAUAUAGUGAGACCCCAUCUCUA